rnacentral:lncRNA from 1 species
UAUCUAUAUAAGUGUUCGGAUCCUCAUUAUUUUCAUUAAGUUCAACUGGAUCACCGUCUUGGACCAAAAAACUAUAGUAUCUAUCCGAUUGAUGCGGUACUCUAUCGGAUCUCCUUAAAGAUGUUUCUACAAUAGGUUUCAAAUUUGAUCUAAUCAAGUCCAACUCUAUGGGUUUAUUAGAUUGUGUCAGUUCUUCUACCGAUCGAACUUCAUCAAGUUCAAUCUUUGAGGCA